rnacentral:rRNA from 1 species
GACAGAGGGGGCAAGCGUUGCUCGGAAUUACUGGGCGUAAAGGGCGCGUAGGCGGGAUGGCAAGUCGGUCGUGAAAUCCCUCGGCUCAACCGAGGAACGUCGAUCGAUACUGCUGUUCUUGAGGAUUGCAGAGGAGACUGGAAUUCCAGGUGUAGCGGUGAAAUGCGUAGAUAUCUGGAGGAAUACCGGUGGCGAAGGCGGCAUCCUGGACCGACAUUGACGCUGAGGAGCGAAAGCUAGGGGAGCAAACGGG